GAAGCUCUUUGUUUGCUUUUCCUUGCAGUAGUGACUGGGUUACUUAAGCCUAAUAGAAGACUCUUUCUUUUAUGCUCUGUGAGCCUGAGCCAUCACAAAUCAAUUACAGAAAGCCUAUAGGAGUUGUCCUCUCUAGCUCCUCCCAGGAAGGGCAGCUGAGAAUGAUUCCUGAUGAAUAAACUCCAUAGUUCCCAAAGAGGGUUGUGUUCCAUGAGCUCUAAGUGUUUCCUUCUGUUUCAAACUCACUCAGAAGGAGAGAUGAGUUUCAGGUGAGGUAGUGGUGGUAGAAGAACAGACAUUUUACACAUCUUCAUCAGUGGGAAGUUCCUGCCUGCCCUUCUCUUAUUGUAGCCUUAGGAAAUGUUCACACAGGGUCCUCCCUGAGGGUGAAGUCAGCUGCAGAGCAGCAGGGCUCUGGACUCUUGUUUGAUACAGAGAUGGAGUUUUACUUCAGAGUUCUCCUUGGAGGCUGAAUGCAAUAAUUCCUGGGAAGUUUAGGGUUAAAGAAGAAAGCACUUUGACAAGCAAUAUGUUGUGUGCUGCAGUGCUUGGUUUUAGUCCAAAGAGAGAAGAGCAGCAGAAAGGAGGUCCAACACAUGUAGUGUCCUGAGAACUGAGAGAGAAGGAACAGUAACGUUCAGACUGAAUAAUCCAGAUUCAAGAGAUGCUUCCAGUUAUAAAGGGUGGAGAAGUCCUGACACCUUCACCUCUUUGGAUAUUUGCAAUUGCAGUGAGUGGAUUAGUUCACAAGGGAUAGGAAAGGAUGCUUAGUUCUUUGUACUGUAUGAUGGAGGAGAUAUGAAAGUUUGUGCAAGGGGAGUACUGUCCACAGCAAACAACCUCUGACUCUUUAUGUAGUUAUUAGCUAACUUCUUUAACUUAAAAUUUUAUCUUAGUUAAAGGGGAACCUUGGAAGUUUGGAGUUUGUACAUUCUUGCAUCAUCUUAAUGGGCUUAGGAGGAGAUGUGUUUAAACUGUCUAUGGAGCUCAGAGAUCCAAGGACUGGCUGUUUCUUUUUUAUUAUUAUUAUUAUUUAUAUAUUUUUUUAAUGGUAAUUCAAACACUUGGUUCUUCUUUGGUUUUGUGCUUAACCACUCCCAACUAUUACGUGCACAGAGAUUGCUGCUGCCAGUAGUUGAAUCUUCUGCUUAUUUGCUAUAUGACAGAAUGAAGGAGGACAAGGGCAAGAGAAGGAAGCCUGAUUUAUUGCCUUUCUUCUCAGCUUUGAAGAGCUCAGAUGAUUUGUAGCACAAAUAAAGAGAAAACUGCUUUGGGAGAAUGAUCAGAGGGGAAUGAGCUUGUACCUGGGGGCAUACAGACAUGCAUGUUAGAUUGGAACUUUAUUACAUUUUAUAUGUGUGCAUAUAUAUGUAUAUAAAUACAUGUGCACACACAUAAAAGUAACAGUGUGACUGAUAA